AAUCAACGCUGGCGGCGUGCCUCAGACAUGCAAGUCGAACGAUUAAAGCUCUCUUCGGAGAGUGUAUAGAGUGGCGCACGGGUGAGUAACACGUAAGUAAUCUACCUUUGAGUGGGGAAUAACAGUCGGAAACGACUGCUAAUACCGCAUAAUGCAGCGGCAUCGCAAGAUGACAGUUGUUAAAGGAGCAAUCCGCUUAAAGAGGAGCUUGCGGCAGAUUAGCUAGUUGGUAAGGUAAUGGCUUACCAAGGCUACGAUCUGUAUCCGGUCUAAGAGGACGGUCGGACACACUGACACUGAAUAACGGGUCAGACUCCUACGGGAGGCAGCAGUCGGGAAUUUUGGGCAAUGGGCGAAAGCCUGACCCAGCAACGCCGCGUGAAGGAUGAAGUAUUUCGGUAUGUAAACUUCGAAAGAAUGGGAAGAAUAAAUGACGGUACCAUCUAUAAGGUCCGGCUAACUACGUGCCAGCAGCCG
rnacentral:rRNA from 1 species